GACGAACGCUGGCGGCGUGCUUAACACAUGCAAGUCGAACAGAAAGGCCCUGCUUUUGUGGGGUGCUCGGGUGGCGAACGGGUGAGUAACACGUGAGUAACCUGCCCUUGACUUUGGGAUAACUUCAGGAAACUGGGGCUAAUACCGGAUAGGAGCUCCUGCUGCAUGGUGGGGGUUGGAAAGUUUCGGCGGUUGGGGAUGGACUCGCGGCUUAUCAGCUUGUUGGUGGGGUAGUGGCUUACCAAGGCUUUGACGGGUAGCCGGCCUGAGAGGGUGACCGGCCACAUUGGGACUGAGAUACGGCCCAGACUCCUACGGGAGGCAGCAGUGGGGAAUAUUGCACAAUGGGCGGAAGCCUGAUGCAGCAACGCCGCGUGCGGGAUGACGGCCUUCGGGUUGUAAACCGCUUUCGCCUGUGACGAAGCGUGAGUGACGGUAAUGGGUAAAGAAGCACCGGCUAACUACGUG
rnacentral:rRNA from 1 species